AUUGAACGCUGGCGGCAUGCCUUACACAUGCAAGUCGAACGGCAGCACGGGUGCUUGCACCUGGUGGCGAGUGGCGAACGGGUGAGUAAUACAUCGGAACAUGUCCUGUAGUGGGGGAUAGCCCGGCGAAAGCCGGAUUAAUACCGCAUACGAUCUACGGCUGAAAGCGGGGGACCUUCGGGCCUCGCGCUAUAGGGUUGGCCGAUGGCUGAUUAGCUAGUUGGGGGGGUAAAGGCCUACCAAGGCGACGAUCAGUAGCUGGUCUGAGAGGACGACCAGCCACACUGGGACUGGGACACGGCCCAGACUCCUACGGGAGGCAGCAGUGGGGAAUUUUGGACAAUGGGCGAAAGCCUGAUCCAGCAAUGCCGCGUGUGUGAAGAAGGCCUUCGGGUUGUAAAGCACUUUUGUCCGGAAAGAAAUCCUUGGCCCUAAUACGGUCGGGGGAUGACGGUACCGGAAGAAUAAGCACCGGCUAACUACGUG
rnacentral:rRNA from 1 species